rnacentral:rRNA from 1 species
UAGGGAAUAUUGCAAAAUGGGCGAAAGCCCGAUGCAGCAACGCCGCGUGGGCGAUGAAGGCCUUCGGGUCGUAAAGCCCUUUUUGAGGGGAUGAGGAAGGACAGUACCCUCAGAAUAAGCCUCGGCUAACUACGUGCCAGCAGCCGCGGUAAAACGUAGGAGGCGAGCGUUAUCCGGAUUUACUGGGCGUAAAGCGCGUGCAGGCGGAUUGGAGAGUUGGAUGUGAAAGCUCCCGGCUUAACCGGGAGAGGCCGUUCGAUACUGCGGGGCUUGAGGUAGGGAGAGGAAUGCGGAAUUCCCGGUGUAGUGGUGGAAUGCAUAGAUAUCGGGAGGAACACCUGUGGCGAAAGCGGCUUCCUGGACUGUAACUGACGCUCAGACGCGAAAGCUAGGGUAGCAAACG